rnacentral:rRNA from 1 species
GAUGAACGCUGGCGGCGUGCCUGAUACAUGCAAGUCGAGCGGUAAGGCCUCUUCGGAGGUACACGAGCGGCGGACGGGUGAGUAACGCGUGGGAAUCUACCCCAGACUGAGGGAUAAGCACCGGAAACGGUGUCUAAUACCGCAUACGGUCUUCGGAUUAAAGCUUCGGCGGUUUGGGAAGAGCCCGCGUAUGAUUAGCUUGUUGGUAAGGUAAUGGCUUACCAAGGCAACAAUCUUUAGCUGGUUUGAGAGGAUGAUCAGCCACACUGGAACUGAGACACGGUCCAGACUCCUACGGGAGGCAGCAGUAAGGAAUUUUCCACAAUGGGGGCAACCCUGAUGGAGCAACGCCGCGUGCAGGAUGAAGGUUUUCGAAUUGUAAACUGCUUUUAUCUGUGAAGAAUAUGACGGUAGCAGAUGAAUAAGGAUCGGCUAACUCCGUGCCAGCAGCCGCCGUAACAC